GAGUUUGAUCCUGGCUCAGAACGAACGCUGGCGGCAGGCCUAACACAUGCAAGUCGAACGAAGCCCUCGGGCUUAGUGGCGGACGGGUUAGUAACGCGUGGGAACGUGCCCUUCACUACGGAAUAGUCCCGGGAAACUGGGUUUAAUGCCGUAUACGCCCUUCGGGGGAAAGAAUUUCGGUGAGGGAUCGGCCCGCGUUAGAUUAGAUAGUUGGUGGGGUAAUGGCCUACCAAGUCUACGAUCUAUAGCUGGUUUUAGAGGAUGAUCAGCAACACUGGGACUGAGACACGGCCCAGACUCCUACGGGAGGCAGCAGUGGGGAAUCUUGGACAAUGGGCGCAAGCCUGAUCCAGCCAUGCCGCGUGAGUGAUGAAGGCCUUAGGGUCGUAAAGCUCUUUCGCCUGUGAAGAUAAUGACUGUAGCAGGUAAAGAAACCCCGGCUAACUCCGUGCCAGCAGCCGCGGUAAUACGGAGGGGGUUAGCGUUGUUCGGAAUUACUGGGCGUAAAGCGCGCGUAGGCGGACUAUUAAGUCAGGGGUGAAAUCCCGGGGCUCAACCCCGGAACGGCCCUUGAUACUGGUAGUCUUGAGUUCGAGAGAGGUGAGUGGAAUUCCGAGUGUAGAGGUGAAAUUCGUAGAUAUUCGGAGGAACACCAGUGGCGAAGGCGGCUCACUGGCUCAAUACUGACGCUGAGGUGCGAAAGUGUGGGGAGCAAACAGGAUUAGAUACCCUGGUAGUCCACACCGUAAACGAUGAAUGCCAGUCGUCGGGUAGCAUGCUGCUCGGUGACACACCUAACGGAUUAAGCAUUCCGCCUGGGGAGUACGGUCGCAAGAUUAAAACUCAAAGGAAUUGACGGGGGCCCGCACAAGCGGUGGAGCAUGUGGGUUUAAUUCGAAGCAACGCGCAGAACCUUACCAACCCUUGACAUCCUCGGACAACUCCAGAGAUGGAGCUUU
rnacentral:rRNA from 1 species